GGACGUUCCACCGCAGGAACUCAGGGGGCGCGGCUUCCGGGCGCCCACUUCGAAACGGCAGAGCGUCGCCGGCCCCGCCAUGACGCAGUCGGUGGUGGUGCAGGUGGGACAGUGCGGGAACCAGGUGGGCUGCCGGUUCUGGGACCUGGCGCUGCGGGAACACGCCGCCGUCAACAAGAAAGGAAUUUAUGAUGAAGCCUUAAGCAGCUUCUUUAGGAACGUAGAUACAAGAAGUGGCGGUGAUGGUCCUGGUAUUUACAAAGGAAAAAUCUGCUCUUUAAAAGCACGAGUAAGGCAAUCUAUAAAGGCACUGUUGAUUGACAUGGAGGAGGGUGUGGUAAAUGAAAUUCUGCAGGGACCAUUGAGGGAUAUGUUUGAUAGCAAGCAGCUUAUCACAGAUGUUUCUGGUUCAGGAAACAACUGGGCUGUAGGUCAUAAGCUAUAUGGCUAUCAGUACCGGGAAAACAUUGUGGAAAAGCUGAGGAAAACCGCAGAACAUUGUGACUGUCUGCAAUGUUUCUUUAUAAUUCAUUCCAUGGGAGGUGGGACAGGAUCUGGUCUUGGAACUUUUGUACUAAAUUUGCUUGAGGACGAAUUCCCAGAAGUGUAUAGAUUUGUUACUUCAGUUUAUCCCUCUGGUGAAGAUGAUGUUAUUACUUCUCCAUAUAAUAGUGUUCUGGCUAUGAAGGAGCUUAAUGAACAUGCAGACUGUGUGUUACCAGUAGAGAAUGAAUCUCUGUUUGAUAUAGUUAAUAAAAUUAAUCAGAUGAUCAAUUCUGGGAAGCUGGGGUCAACCGUGAAGCAAAAUAGCUUGGUAACAUCAAGUACAGGCAGUGUAAAAACUCUCCAAGAGAAGCCAUUUGAUGCAAUGAAUAAUAUCGUAGCCAACUUGCUGCUGAACCUGACAAGCUCUGCUAGAUUUGAAGGUUCCCUGAACAUGGAUCUUAAUGAAAUCAGUAUGAAUUUGGUUCCAUUUCCUCGACUUCAUUAUUUGGUUUCAAGCUUGACUCCUCUGUAUACGUUGGCGGAUGUUAACGUACCUUCUAGAAGGUUGGAUCAGAUGUUUUCAGAUGCAUUCAGUAGAGAUCAUCAACUAAUUCAAGCAGAUCCAAAGCACAGCCUCUACCUUGCCUGUGCACUUCUUGUUCGAGGAAAUGUGCAGGUUUCAGACCUUCGCCGAAAUAUUGAAAGGUUAAAACCUUCUCUGCACUUUGUCUCCUGGAAUCAAGAGGGCUGGAAAACUGGUUUGUGUUCAGUACCUCCCGUGGGCCAUUCCCAUUCACUUCUGGCUUUAGCAAACAACACCUGCAUAAAGCCAACUUUCAUUGAACUCAAGGAGAGAUUUAUGAAGCUCUACAAGAAAAAGGCUCACCUUCACCAUUAUCUGCAAAUAGAUGGGAUGGAGCAAAGCUGUUUUUCUGAAGCUGUGUCCUCGUUGUCUGAUCUAAUAGAAGAGUACAAUGAACUGGAUGUGACAAAAGGUGGGCCUAGAACAGACCCAUCAAGACUGAAGAUAGCUGUUUAAAGAAGGAAGAACUGCUCUUUUUUUUUUUGUUUAAAAAGAAUGAAAUACUUCCUAAGCAUCCAGCCACUUCAGUUAACCAGAAUGACUUGCAGCAUGCCUGGCUGUUGUAAUUCUGAAGUGGGACCAGGACAACGGCUUUCUCAGCUCAAGAGUUGUCAUAUUAAGUGAUAAGCCCUGCCUGUAAGAAAGAUUUGACAGCACCUAAUUAUAGCUGAUAUCAGUAAGAGCAGUAAUCCUAACUGUGGAGUAAAUUGACACACCAUAUGCUGUGAAGAGAAGGAAAAGAGAUUUUAGCAGCCAAAAAUGUAAUUCUUUUCUCAGACUUUACAGUAAACUAAAGGACUUUGAGUUCCGAAAACAUAUCUCCUGGAGCACUGCAAAUCCUCUGGCAUACGCACGACGUUAUCCACAUCAUCUUCCACUUGAAGAAGCCUUCGUUGGGACACUCAAACUGUACAGUGAUCAUUUUGGACUUAUUAGGUAUGCAGCACCUCUUGUCCAAGCACACCCCACAGAAAGUUAGUCUGUAGCUUUGAGUAGUUGAGCAUCCAGAAAAAACUAGCUUCUCUGCUCUUGGAAGCUGGAAUGUUGGUUGACAUGUUUUUCCUUUUGAAAUCUUUAAUAUUAGAACAAAGAAAAGCCUGAGUUUUCUAUGCAUUAAAAACAGACCAUGUAAGAAAUAGUUGCAACAUUUACUUAGAAAUAUCUUAAAAGUUAGUCUGAAACUAACUUGGUCUGAAACUGCCUUAUUUUUCCUUUAGCAGUCAGCAAAUAGAAAGUACUUUUGGAGUGACUGUGCAUCAGGGCAGCACUAGCAACACAUCUAUAUCAGGACAUUACAUUUUUUUUGCUUUAAAUUGCACAUCUGUAGUUUACUAUUGAAGCCUGAAGAUUGAAUGUAGAAAACAUAAGAGUUAUUUUAAAACCCUUAAAAAAGAAAGAAGUAAAUGUUUUAUUAGUAACUGCUAAUACAUCCAUUUUUCCACUAGCUCCAAUAUUUUCGUUUUCUAUUAAGAAGUAAUUUUAUAUUAGAAAAUACCUUUAUUUUCUUCAGCAUAUUAGUCAGACAUGGCUGGAUGAAGCAUAAUCUCUUUUCUUUUUUCAUCUCACAUCUUCUGUUGUCGUUGGUCACUCUGCUGGAUAUGCCUAUGCCACAGGUCCUGGAGCAGGGUGUCCAGGGAGUUGCCUGUACAAGGCACUUUUUCUUCAAGACUAGCGGUAAGCUUCUGUAAGCUAAGACAGCAAUAUAUUAUUUAUGCAGCAGAACAGCCCCAAAAGGAUGAAUUGAAAAUACAAGGAUAAGACUUUGAUUUCUGUUCCUGAAGGUACUUCUGGAGGUAAACGUAGAAAUGAGACAUAAAUAACAUUAUUCAAAAACCAACUGAGCUGCUGUUAAACAUUACUGACACUGGAUACUCAGAUCCUAGUAAGGACUAUCAAAUUGCAUAUGUUAUAUGACUCUCCAGUUCCGCUUAAUGGAAAUGUUAAGUGGAGAGGGUUAUUUGUGGAAUUUUUAUGGAAUGUCCAGAUUUUUUUUUAUUUUAUUUCAGGCCAAACAUAGCUUGUAAAGGGCUGCUGAAAACAUUAAUGUUCAUUUCUUUGUAGAUACUGUGAAGACUUUAGAGUUUGUGUUGAGGAAUAAAAUACUCCAAUCAC